GGUGGCUCAGCGGUAGAAUGCUUGCCUUGCAUGCAAGAGGCCCUGGGUUCGAUUCCUCAGCACCA
rnacentral:tRNA from 1 species